rnacentral:rRNA from 1 species
CUACGGGUGCACCAGUGAGGAAUAUUGCACAAUGGGGGGAACCCUGAUGCAGCAACGCCGCGUGGAGGAUGACGCAUUUCGGUGUGUAAACUCCUUUUAUAUGUCAAGAAAAUGACGGUAGCAUAUGAAUAAGCACCGGCUAACUCCGUGCCAGCAGCCGCGGUAAUAGGGAGGGUGCAAGCGUUACUCGGAAUCACUGGGCGGAAAGGACGCGUAGGCGGGUUGGAAAGUCAGGUGUGAAAUCCUACAGCUUAACUGUAGAACUGCACUUGAAACUUCUAAUCUAGAGUAUGGGAGGGGGAGAUGGAAUUAGUGGCGUAGGGGUAAAAUCCGUAGAUAUCACUAGGAAUACCUAAAGCGAAGGCGAUCUCCUGGAACAUUACUGACGCUAAGGCGUGAAAGCGUGGGGAGCAAACAGGAUUAGAUACCCGUGUAGUC